UACGUAGGGAGCAAGCGUUAUCCGGAUUUAUUGGGUGUAAAGGGUGCGUAGACGGGAAUUUAAGUUAGUUGUGAAAUCCCUCGGCUUAACUGAGGAACUGCAACUAAAACUGAAUUUCUUGAGUGCGGGAGAGGAAAGCGGAAUUCCUAGUGUAGCGGUGAAAUGCGUAGAUAUUAGGAGGAACACCAGUGGCGAAGGCGACUUUCUGGACCGUAACUGACGUUGAGGCACGAAAGUGUGGGGAGCAAACAGG
rnacentral:rRNA from 1 species